rnacentral:rRNA from 1 species
AUUGAACGCUGGCGGCAUGCCUUACACAUGCAAGUCGAACGGUAACAGGUUAAGCUGACGAGUUGCGAACGGGGGAGUCAUGUAUCGGAACGUGCCCAGUCGUGGGGGAUAACUGCUCGAAAGAGCAGCUAAUACCGCAUACGACCUGAGGGUGAAAGCGGGGGAUCGCAAGACCUCGCGCGAUUGGAGCGGCCGAUAUCAGAUUAGGUAGUUGGUGAGGUAAAGGCUCACCAAGCCGACGAUCUGUAGCUGGUCUGAGAGGACGACCAGCCACACUGGGACUGAGACACGGCCCAGACUCCUACGGGAGGCAGCAGUGGGGAAUUUUGGACAAUGGGCGCAAGCCUGAUCCAGCCAUGCCGCGUGCGGGAAGAAGGCCUUCGGGUUGUAAACCGCUUUUGUCAGGGAAGAAAAGGUUCUGGCUAAUACCUGGGACUCAUGACGGUACCUGAAGAAUAAGCACCGGCUAACUACGUG